rnacentral:rRNA from 1 species
CAAAGCAGNGAUGUGGAGCAAAACACAAAAAGACAGUCUCAGUUCAGAUUGUAGGCUGAAACUCGCCUAUAUGAAGUUGGAAUUGCUAGUAAUCGCGAAUCAGAAUGUCGCGGUGAAUACGUUCCCGGGCCUUGUACACACCGCCCGUCACACCAUGAGAGUCGAUAACACCCGAAGCCUGUGAGCUAACCUUUUAGGAGGCAGCAGUCGAAGGUGGGGUUGAUGAUUGGGGUGAAGUCGUAACAAGGUACC